GUUAAAGAACCCCAGACCUCGACCCGUGAUAGAUCUGUUAAGUAGAUCUACUGAAGGGUUGACAAGGAAUAAACAAAUUUAUUCAUAAAAUAAACCUGGCUGCAUGAAGGGUAAUAGCUUUUGCCUGGCUAAAAAAAUAAAUAAAAAUUUUCAGGGGUGAUAAACCUGGUUCAGAGAGAUACACUGAUGACCUAACAGCUAGGGUGAGAAGCCACUAAAGCAUUUCAGAGUGUCUGGAAAGUCCUUUUGGAAGUGUGUGACAAAUUGUGUCAGUGUUACAAUCAUAUGUCCCCCACAUUUUAAAUAUGAUUAUGAAGUGUCUACAUUAAGUUGUAUAUUAUACUAUGCACUACAAAAAUAAAGAUACAUUUUUUUUAAAUGUGCAGAGUGGUGAAAUUCAGUUACAAUGCCAACACUUGCCAGUUGAGGACUACUUACACUGAUAAUACAUGUGCUCAUAGACCUUAUCACAGGGCUCAACCUUUGUGACUAUGGUCCUUCGCACAUUCUUCCUUCCAUUACGUGUUCACAAGCCUUUUAUAUAGUUAUAACCUUCACACAGCUCACAGAAACUGGAGUCCCGACAGGCAUUAGUCUCCUUAUAGACUUCAAGUAUGCACAGCUGUUUUAACCAAACUAAAC